AAGGUGGCCCAGCUCGGUCGCCGAUCCGGAGGUCUGCAAGACCCCGUCCUUGCCGCCUGCCAUUCAACUUCUGCUGCCGGAUUGGUAGAAGCACAAGAAUUCAAGAGUGUCAUAGCACACCCACAUUUUCCUGUACAAUUUUCAGAGUGCCAUGACCAUUUUGUUGUUGUUGCUGUGAACAGUGCUACAAUGAUGGAGGGACAUCGAGCAGGUCACCGCAAGUGCCAGGUCUUGACCAAUUUGUUCCAUCUACAGUACGGUUAAGAUAAGCUAUUUAUCCGACACACAAUGACUUUUAUUCAAUCAGUCAUAUGAAUCUUAAAUUACUCAUAAUGCUAGUGAUUUCGGAUCUAUACUUCGGUUGGCUGAUUAUUGCGUCUCCCGAUAGAUUGCGCUUACUUGCAGAAGCCAGAUGUGACAUAUGUGAUGAAGAGCUUUUGCUUUGUGUGUGCUUAUUGGAGUUCGCGUGCUAUAUCAGUUCCUGAAUUUGCCAAAAGUGCUUUUUGGAUGGAAGUGGUUUUAAUUCUGAAUAUUAAUAUCCUCUAACUAUAUAUUCGCUUUGUUGCUUCCUGACUUGGGUACCUGCUCGGGGACAUUGAGGGAUUCGUUCAGCUUGUCUUCUCGUAGUCACUGAGUCAUAGGUCAAGUUUUUUCAGAAGAGGUGUGUUAUCUUGUUGGAUGGGAUUUCUUCUUCCGAAGAGAAAAGAUGAAACUAAAAAGGUUAGUGGCUCAGCUGCCCUCUAUCCGUGAUUUGAAGGGUUGACAUGCAGGAAGUCUCAUCAGGUGUUUACUGGGUAAAUCUCAUCAGGUGUUUCUGAAUUUUGUUGAAUUAAUUUGGAUGUACAAAUUAUUUCAAAGUUGAUCUGUAUGGCUUCUGAAUUCAGUAUGGCACAAACCAGGAUGGUGCUUCACUUUAUUUGGUGUUUAAUAUUAAGUUUAAUAGAGUUCUAGAUACAUUUUCUUUGAGUAUUCGAAUGAUACUGAAUAUUUCAGCUUGUUACCGUAUUCCACCAGUAGAAAAUAGGAGGGACUAAAACAUAUGCUUGAAAUUAUCAUCUAUGCUCAAUUUCUGUAAGAAUUUGCUUAUCUGGGAGAUGAUUAAUUUCAAGGUUGGUUUGCCCAUGAGAUUGCUAGAGUAUGGUACCAUUUCAGACAAGCUAAUGUAUGUUCAUAUUGCAUUCUCUAAUUAUCUUCUUACCUUUUGGAUUUUUUACAGGUUAGGAUCAGUUUGGAACUUACAUGGAAGAUGCUGAAUAUCACUCUAUCUUUCUAAGCCAAAAUUAUUUUUAUUUUGCCGGGGAUCCAUUUGUAGUGGCUAAAAGGUGUACAUUUGGUCAGUGCUUCACAUACCAGACAAUUGGAGUGCAGUGGAGCUGAUCUAUGCAGACGGCAGCUGAGAUCGGUGAUGCUUCAGCUACUCAGUCAGCAUCUGCCCAUCUGUGUUUCCUUGCUAUGGCAACACAUUCUCAUCAACCAGGUGCUUAAUUAGAGGCUGCAAUGGAAACCAUGUCUGAAUGAUUGCUUGGGACAGUACCAUAGCAUAAGCUUUGUACAUGCAACCACCGCAAAUCAACCAUAGGCUGCAGCUAGCUGAUGUGUUUAGGCUCUUGUGCCAAUGCAGCUAGCCCUGUGACGAUGCGGCAGAGAAGCACACCCAGCACGGAUGGGAGCAGCCCUCCAGCCAUUCGAUGAGAUGCCUAAUGAACCAUGAGUCCAUGAGACUAAAAACAAUGAAGAAUGAAUUGUGUUAGAUUUUUUGGUACAUUUAAAUUUACCAUCUCAGUUAUUACUGCUCAUUUCUGAAUACGUUAAUUUGAAACAUCACUUGCAGUUGAUGCUUUCGGUUGAUUACUACUCCAACAAAGAAGAAAACAAACACCCUUUUACAAAGAUAAAUACUACUACACAUUUUAGCACAUGUAGUAGUUUACACUCACUUGAUGUGCAUGGAUAGCACCAAAUGAGUUCAUGAAUACUUCGGCAAGUUUGAUCCCAAGCUGCUGGAGAGCUCAGAGCCCGAUGCCAUCCUCAAGCUCAUCGUCCCGGUACAGGAACAAGAUGGAGUUCUCGCUUGGGACAAAGAGAUGGAUGCAAAGGGAGUGGAAGGAGAAGGAGGAAGUAAACAAGGCUGACGAGAUAUUUCCCAUAACAUUUGAUUAACUCAUCAGUUUUUUUUAGGCUAUGAACAAUAGCUAUCUGUUGUGCUGCUGGAAAUGAAAGAAACCUAAGGUUGAGGGUAUACAGCUUUGAGUGGAUCAGAUUUUAUAGAAGAAAAAACUUAAGGUAAAGUUUUUUCCUGGUUUCUGCUUGAUCGAGAUAGAAGAUGGUAGCAGUAAGCAGUGUGCUACUGGAUAAGAAUAGAGCCAAGCAAAGAUCCAGGUUGCUUCUUGCUAUGUGCUACAUGGGUCUCUUAGAAAAUAUCAUAAUAAUGCUUUGGCAGAGUAGGCCAGGUGCAUUCUCUUAUGGGAGUGACCAUCUGUGAGCUAGAUAUUAGUUGUAUCUCUACUUUUGAUUGCAUAAUGACAUGUUUUGCUUCCAAGGCCUAUUAGAAGGGAGGCGAUUAUAAAUAAAUAUUUAAAUAUAUGCCUCUGAUCUGAUGUAAUAACUAAGACAAGGCCUAAUCAUCGAUGCUCAUAUAACUCCAA